CCUACGGGUGGCAGCAGUGAGGAAUAUUGGUCAAUGGGCGUAAGCCUGAACCAGCCAAGUCGCGUGAGGGAUGAAGGUUCUAUGGAUCGUAAACCUCUUUUAUAAGGGAAUAAAGUGUGGGACGUGUCCUAUUUUGUAUGUACCUUAUGAAUAAGGAUCGGCUAACUCCGUGCCAGCCGCCGCGGUAAUACGGAGGAUCCGAGCGUUAUCCGGAUUUAUUGGGUUUAAAGGGUGCGUAGGCGGCCUUUUAAGUCAGCGGUGAAAGUCUGUGGCUUAACCAUAGAAUUGCCGUUGAAACUGGGGGGCUUGAGUAUGUUUGAGGCAGGCAGAAUGCGAGGUGUAGCGGUGAAAUGCUUAGAGAUCACGCGGAACACCGAUUGCGAAGGCAGCCCGCCAAGCCAUGACUGACGCUGAUGCACGAAAGCGUGGGGAUCAAACAGGAUUAGAUACCCGGGUAGUC
rnacentral:rRNA from 1 species